UACGGGGGGGCAAGCGUUGUCCGGAAUCAUUGGGCGUAAAGAGCGUGUAGGCGGCCCGGUAAGUCCGCUGUGAAAGUCCAGGGCUCAACCCUGGGAUGCCGGUGGAUACUGUCGGGCUAGAGUCCGGAAGAGGCGAGUGGAAUUCCUGGUGUAGCGGUGGAAUGCGCAGAUAUCAGGAGGAACACCGAUGGCGAAGGCAGCUCGCUGGGACGGUACUGACGCUGAGGCGCGAAAGCGUGGGGAGCGAACAGG
rnacentral:rRNA from 1 species